rnacentral:rRNA from 1 species
AUUGAACGCUGGCGGCAGGCCUAACACAUGCAAGUCGAGCGGAGCGGCGGACGGGUGGGUAAUGCCUAGGAAUCUGCCCGGUAGUGGGGGAUCACGUCCGGAAACGGGCGCUAAUACCGCAUACUAUCAGAUGAGUCUAGGGGGGCUUAGCUAGUUGGUGGGGCACAGGCUUACCAAGGCGACGAUCCGUAACUGGUCUGAGGGGAUGAUCAGUCACACUGGAACUGAGACACGGUCCAGACUCCGACGGGAGGCAGCAGUGGGGAAUAUUGGACAAUGGACGAAAGUCUGAUCCAGCCAUGCCGCGUGUGUGAAGAAGGUCUUCGGAUUGUAAAGCACUUUAAGUUGGGAGGCGUUACCAACAUAUUAAGCACCGGCUAACUUCGUGCCAGCAGCCGCGGUAAUAC